rnacentral:tRNA from 1 species
GUUAAGGUGGCAGAGCCCGGUAAAUGCAAAAGACCUAAGCUCUUUAACCCAGAGGUUCAACUCCUCUCCUUAACC